GUAAACCUAGAAAUCCCCCUCCUCUCUUUCUCUAUCCUCUGUCAUUUCUUCUUGAAAACCUAGAACCCUUUUGUUGGUUCUCGUAGUUGUUUUCGGAACUUGAUUUGGGGUUUUUUUAUCUUGGAUUCUGGGUUUGUAAGAAAAGGGAGGAAGAGGGUAAAGUGUGAGUUAAAGCCAUGGAUGCGGAUCAAGGAAAGCUUUUUGUCGGUGGGAUUUCAUGGGAAACUAACGAAGACAAGCUAAAGGAACAUUUCAGUAACUAUGGCGAUGUCUUGCAGGCAAUCGUGAUGAGGGACAAGGUCACUGGUCGCCCUAGGGGUUUUGGGUUCGUUCUCUUCUCGGAUCCUUCUGUUCUCGAUCGGGUUCUUCAGGACAAGCAUCACAUUGAUACCAGAGAGGUUGAUGUGAAGAGGGCCAUGACAAGAGAAGAACAGCAAGUAUCAGGUAGAUCCGGUAAUUAUAAUCCUUCUAGAAAUUCCGGAGGUGGUGGCGGUGGAUAUGUUAGAACCAAGAAGAUCUUUGUCGGAGGUUUGCCGCCCACUUUGACAGAUGAAGCAUUUCGACAGUACUUUGAAGCUUAUGGUUCCGUGGCUGAUGUGAUAAUCAUGUAUGACCAGAAUACCAACCGUCCUCGUGGGUUUGGAUUUGUUUCCUUCGAAUCUGAAGAUUCGGUAGACCGUGUCUUGCACAAGACUUUCCAUGAUUUGAACGGCAAGCAAGUUGAAGUAAAGCGGGCUCUUCCUAAAGACGCCAUUCCUGGAGGGCCUGGGCGUUCAAUGGGUGGUAGUGGGAACAGUUAUGAGGGCCGUGUAGAUUCCAACAGGUUUAUGCAGCAUCAGAAUACCGGAAAUGGUUUACCAUCUUAUGGUUCUUCUGGUUAUGGUGGUGCCGGUUAUGGAUAUGGUAGUAAUGGAGUCGGGUAUAUCGCCUAUGGAGGCUAUGCUGCUGGUGCUGGUGGAGGUUAUGGUGGUCCUUUUGGUGCGCCAUAUGGAAACCCGAGCGGUGCUCCAGGUGCUGCUUUUGGAAGUGGUCAUGGAGGUGGUCCGAGAAGUUCAUGGGGCGGUCAACCUGCUGCUGCUGGUUAUGGUAACCCGGGCUAUGGAAAUACUGCUCCUAGUGGUUAUGGAGGUAAUGGAGCAGCACCUUCUGCACAAUCUCCAGGUGGGUCAGCUGGUUUUAGUAACCAAGGUUACGGAUAUGGUGGAAACGAUUCCUCUUAUGGAAAUCAACCCGGAUUUGGAGCCAUUGGAGGGCGUCCAAGUGGCGGAUCAAAUAUUGCCGGCGGGGAUCUACAAGGUAGUGGUGGUGGCUACAAUGGAGGCAGCUAUGGUGAUGGUUCAUGGAGAUCUGAUCCGCUGCAAGGUUAUGGCGGUGGGUACAAUGGUAGUCAGGGUCGACAUGGACAACAGUAGAGAAUCCUGAACGGACUGCAUCAUUUUAAGGGGUUCUAAUCCCUGUUUAUGGACCCCUCAUCAAGAAGAAUAGCUCAAUCCGAAGGUAUUAAAAAGCUUAAAGGCUUCUGAUUUAAGAGAUGUCUGUCCUGUUUUCGGGAUCUGUAGAUGAAAACGGGUAUCUCUUUCCAAUAGAUGCAGCUCUCAUCUAAUCUCCUCGUUGUGUGCAGUUUCGGUAGAUGUAGCGGUAGUUGAUCCUUUGAAGCUAGUUCUGUGAGGACGAGGAUGCUUAAGUUCUACGGCGAAGCCAAAGAUUCGUCCAGGCAGAAACCCAAGCUAUGCUCAUACAGAGAUUCUUCUGUUCAUGCUCUUGCAAUGGUAUUAGAGAGAGAGAGAAAGAGAGAGAGAGAGAGAGAGAGGGGGUUGGAAAAGAGGGUAGCUUUUGUUCAUCCUUCCCUUUGUAGCUGAAAUGGGACAAUGUUGAUGUAUCAUGAGAUGUCAGAUCAGGUCAUUAGUUUCUGAUGUCAGUGCCACUGAAACCAGAAACUUUGUUGUUGCAGGAGGGUUUUCAGUGUCUUAAUGGAACUUAAACUCUUCUGUCA